rnacentral:snoRNA from 1 species
AAACCAUGCAUCGGACAUUUUCUAAUUAAUUCUUUAAAACACUCUCAUGCUUCAUAUAAUGUCUUAUCUUCAGACUGUUUGAACGAUGUAAUGUGAUAACUCAGCUU